UACAGAGGUCCCAAGCGUUGUUCGGAUUCACUGGGCGUAAAGGGUGCGUAGGUGGCCAGGUAAGUUCGGUGUGAAAGCUCGGAGCUCAACUCCGAAAUGUCAUUGAAUACUAUCUGGCUUUAUUGAGGGUCGGAGGGGGAGACUGGAAUUCUCGGUGUAGCAGUGAAAUGCGUAGAUAUCGAGAGGAACACCAGUGGCGAAGGCGAGUCUCUGGACGACACCUGACACUGAGGCACGAAAGCUAGGGGAGCAACAGG
rnacentral:rRNA from 1 species